rnacentral:rRNA from 1 species
AGUGAACGCUGGCGGUAGGCCUAACACAUGCAAGUCGAACGGCAGCACAGUAAGAGCUUGCUCUUACGGGUGGCGAGUGGCGGACGGGUGAGGAAUACAUCGGAAUCUACUUUUUCGUGGGGGAUAACGUAGGGAAACUUACGCUAAUACCGCAUACGACCUACGGGUGAAAGCAUGGGAUCUUCGGACCUUGCACGAUUGAAUGAGCCGAUGUCGGAUUAGCUAGUUGGAGGGGUAAAGGCCCACCAAGGCGACGAUCCGUAGCUGGUCUGAGAGGAUGAUCAGCCACACUGGAACUGAGACACGGUCCAGACUCCUACGGGAGGCAGCAGUGGGGAAUAUUGGACAAUGGGCGCAAGCCUGAUCCAGCCAUACCGCGUGGGUGAAGAAGGCCUUCGGGUUGUAAAGCACUUUUGUUGGGAAAGAAAAGCAGCAGGUUAAUACCCCGCUGUUCUGACGGUACCCAAAGAAUAAGCACCGGCUAACUUCGUG